rnacentral:tRNA from 1 species
AGAAUAGUACUUAAAUUUUAAAAAAAUCUAAUCUGCAAUUAGGUCAUGCUUGAUUCU